UACGAAGGGGGCUAGCGUUGCUCGGAAUCACUGGGCGUAAAGCGCACGUAGGCGGAUCGUUAAGUCGGGGGUGAAAUCCUGGAGCUCAACUCCAGAACUGCCUUCGAUACUGGCGACCUUGAGUCCGGGAGAGGUGAGUGGAACUCCGAGUGUAGAGGUGAAAUUCGUAGAUAUUCGGAAGAACACCAGUGGCGAAGGCGACAUACUGGCUCAUUACUGACGCUGAGGCUCGAAAGCGUGGGGAGCAAAC
rnacentral:rRNA from 1 species